rnacentral:rRNA from 1 species
GACGAACGCUGGCGGCGUGCUUAACACAUGCAAGUCGAACGAAGUGGCGAACGGGUGAGUAACGCGUAAUAAACCUGCCCUUCAGAGGGGGACAACAGUUGGAAACGACUGCUAAUACCGCAUACUGAAGGAGGGGAUUGCGUCUGAUUGGCUAGUUGGAGGGGUAACGGCCCACCAAGGCGAUGAUCAGUAGCCGGUCUGGGAGGAUGAACGGCCACAUUGGGACUGGGACACGGCACAGACUCCUACGGGAGGCAGCAGUGGGGACUCUUCCGGAAUGGACCAAAGUCUGAUCCAGCAAUUCUGUGUGCACGAUGAAGUUUUUCGGAAUGUAAAGUGCUUUCAGUUAGGAAGCGGUACCAACAGAAGAAGUGACGGCUAAAUACGUGCCAGCAGCCGCGGUAAUAC